rnacentral:ncRNA from 1 species
UUGUGUAUUAUAUUAAUUUUUAAUAAAUUAAUUUUUUAAUUACAGUAAUUAAAUUUAAAUAUUAAAGAAAUUUAGAUUUAGUAAUAAUUAAUAAUAUUAACAAAAUUUGUGCCAGCAGUUGCGGUUAAACAAAUAAUAUUAUUAAAAUUUAAUAGUUAAACUUUAUUUAAUGAUUAAAUUAAAUAUUAUAAUUAGUUAGGUAAAAUUAUUUAUUAUUAAAUUUAGUUAAUAAGUUAUUUAUAUAUGUUAAAAAUUUACUUUAAAAACUAGGAUUAGAUACCCUAUUAUUAUAAAUGUAAUUAUAAUACUUAAUUAUUAAAAGUUAUGAUCUUUAAAAUUAAAAAAUUUGGCGGUAUUUUAGUCUUUUCAGAGGAACCUGUUUCAUAAUUGAUAGUCCACAUUUAGAAUUAUUUUUUCUUUAAUUUAUAUAUCAUUGUAAUUAAAAUAUUUUUAUAGAUUAAUGUUUAAAAUUUAUAAUUAUAAAUAAUAUCAGAUCAAGAUGUAGUUUAUGAAAAAAAGAAAAUGGGUUACAAUAAAUUUAUUUAAGAAUAAUUUUAUUAAGUGAAAUUUGAAUUUGGAUUUGAAAGUAAUAUUAAUUAUAUUAUUAAUGUGAUUUUAGUUUUAAAAUAUGUACAUAUUGCCCGUCACUUUCAUUUUAAAAUGAAAUAAGUCGUAACAAAGUAGAUUUAUUGGAAGAUGAAUCUAGAAAAUC